GUAAUGUUUCGUUAUCUCUGUUUCUUCUAUUCACAUCAAAAAUAAAUUUCAAAUUUUAUAUAUCAAAAUAGAUCUGCAUGUGGUUCCUCCAGAUUUUAUUGACAUCUUAGAGAAGCCAUUACCAAUGAAGCUGCCUCAAAGGGAGGGUCUUAAGCUGCAGCGAAUCGCAAAGCUGCUGCUGCUUCUGCAGGUGGUGCCACAGGUUCCGAAUCCAGGGUAAAGGGUUCCUCUGAGAAGAAGAAGGGCAAAGGAAAAAAGGAUUGAGAGUGAGGUCAUCUCAUGGUUAUUGUACAAACCUAUAUAUUAAUAAUAUCCUACAAACUACAAACUCACAAUCUCUUUCUUGAUCAUAAAUAAAACCAGAGAUUGUCACCUUUACUUAUCAUGAAAUGCUACUACUAUCUUUCUGUAAUGGCUAUUGAUGAUAUAUAAAUGAUAGCAAAAUUUAUAAUAUUCUGAAUGAUACAUUAUAUCUUCUCUUUAUUGAUUCUCAAAUAUCCACCGACCACAAGCAUUGCUUAUAGCAUUCUUUGUACAUUCUCAUACAAGUGGAUAAGAGUUCCGAGUAUGAAAAGCUAUGUCAUUCUUUGCCACAGGGUAGUAAGCAGGUGAUCAAAACCAGAAAUUUAUUGGUUUUGAGAGAAUUGGGAAUGCCUCAGAAGUUGUU